AUGCCUUAAACUUAAGAGUAAGGAAAAGAACAAUCCAGGGUGACGCCCGGGUCCUCUCUACAAAUGUGAGAGGAAUUUUUGCAGGGGUGCAGGUCAUCCCUGGGUGGCCUGCUUACUUUGCAGAAUGCCUGGACAAUUUUUUCU
rnacentral:snRNA from 1 species